rnacentral:tRNA from 1 species
CCGAUAUGGCUCAAUUGGCAGAGCAGCUGAUUUGUAAUCAGCAGGUUGAGGGUUCGAGUCCCCCUAUCGG